rnacentral:lncRNA from 1 species
CAAGUGUGAUCUGUGGGGGAAAACCAUUGGUAGUUCUGAAGGCUGGGGUCCCUGAGCCCUUCCUAUCCAUCCCUUUCUGUGUUUGUGCCUGGAGUGCCCAGGGCUUUCUCAGCUCUUUCUACUGGGGUCUAGGCUGCAGAGGAGGGGCAGAGGCCCUGGCGCCGCUGCCUUCUCGGGUGUGCUUGUUGACAGAGAUGUUUACCAUGCUCAGGUCAGCCUUUGCCCUUCUACAGCCAGCUGCAGCCUCCUCUUCCGAAGAACCUCUUAGUGGCUCUGUCAUUUGUCUAUACCACAGCUCCUGCUUGUGAUGCCUACUGGCAUUCUGGAUCCCUGGUCUUUUCCCCCUGGGGCUCUGGGCUCACAUGCACUGUCCCCAUUCUCACGGCAUUCACAUUUUCUAAGGCAGAGGAUGUGGCUAGGGAGGAGAAGGAGGAGACCCGUCAUCCUGAGGCCUGUAUCAACUGCAAACCUAGCCCUGGAAGCCCCUCUCCCCAUCCCAACUUCCCUGCUCCUCAGGCCCCACACUGAUUCCUACUCAGGCACCCUGGGAGGAGCCUCCCCCAGGAAGUCCUCCCUGACAGUUCUUCCUUCAUACCUACACUCUUUCUACAUCCUGUCCUCCCCGAGGGAGGUGGGACUGGGGGAGGGUGUUGAACUGAAAGCAUUGUUGCUUCUUGCUGCUGCUAGCCAACCCAGGAGAGUGGUACCACCUACAAGGCUCUCAGCCAAGCUCUCUGUGCUUGCCUUGGUGACCCUGCUUUUUGCCCCCUCCUUUGUUUGCUAAAGGCAGUUAGUUUACCUGAAGGCUCCAGGGCAGGAGUGGUGCAUUGCUGCCUGGAUAGCGAGCUUGGCUCUGGGCCCAUGAAACUGCAGUCGGGAAGACUCAGGAGAGAACACAAGAAUAUUCCAGAAACCCAAUACAUUGCACACACAUACACAGCUCCUCAAAUAUAUCUGUACACACACAGAUGUACAAACAGACACAUAAAGAUGCAUACAGCCACAUGGAUUUAGAGGCACACCAAGCCCCAGUGCACACAAGCUCACACAUCCAUAUGGAGGCUUGCAGGACACAGACCCAAGACACUCAGGCAUGCACCCCAUGAAGAUCCCAAAUAUGGAACUCACACAGGAAUGUUUCCCACAAAGUACCACAUACUCACAUGAGUAUUCUUGUGGACACAUACACGUGUGUCUCCCCAUCCCUUUCACUCCUUAUCUCACUAACGCAGACACACACAUCUUCCCUCUGGAGCAUCCCAGCCUACACCCAUUGCAGCCCCAAGGGGCACAGGCAUGUUGGUCUGGCAGCUAGCUGCAGUUUCCUAGGAAACGCUGCCACCGCCAUGUCAUUGCACAGCCUGGGGAGGCCUGGGGCAUAUGCUGGAUGAGCCCAAAGCCUGUCUGGAGUUCAGACUACAGAGGAUGUGCUAGAUGAAGAGGAGAUGCUCACUCAAGGACCCGAGUACAAGUAUCACUCCUUUAGCCCAAAGUUUUGCUACCCUUGGUACCAUGUGCUAGAACCUGAAGGAGAAGAGAGUACCCUCUUCCCACCUACUUGUCUCCACUCUGAUCUGCAGUGCCCAUGAGUGCUUUUGCUCAUGAAACACCUGUUUUAUUAGAGGUAAACAAACAAAACAACAAUAACAACAAAAAACCCAGCCAUGGAAAGGAGGAACUGAAGAAAAUGGGCCCUAGAGCCCAGCUUGUCCAGGAGGAGGAGGAUGAGGGUGGAGAGCUAUGAGGCCCAGUACAUGCAGAAAGGAACAACAGCCUUGGGGUGGGGGGUCCUGACUGAAGCCUCACUCCCAAUUUUGCCCAAGAGCAAUCUUAAGUGUGGGAGACCAGGCAGGGCCGGGAGGCUGAGAGAACCCUAGGAAUGUUGAGAGGGUGCCCACUCUAUCCCAUGAUUGAAACAGGGAACAAGUGUGUCAUGGCCUGCCAUUGGGGCUUUCCGUGGGGCACAGGGGUAGCUUCGGGGAGACCUGGAUACCAGGGAGCGAUGGAUGGCUCAGGAUGCUAAUCAUGGAAGGCUGGAAUGAGUGCAGUAAACCCCACCCUUCUUGCUAGAGGGGUCUUUGGUAUAUCUGAUCCCCAGAGCAUCCUCAAGCCGAGAGCUAUGUGUGGAUGGAGUAUGGGUCACCAGGAAAGUGAUAGGGAUAUUUAUAGGCAGAAUUCCAACUCUAUUUCCUUCCUACACUGGAUGCCAAACCCUGGCUCUGGCUGGCCCUGAGUCCCAAGAUCUGCACGGGGCAGGGAGUGUAUGUGCUCCUUGGAGGGAGAAAGCUAAAACAACAAGGGGAGAAAAUACAGGAUGAAUAGACAGGGUAGGAGAGAACAGGAGAGGACCUGGGAGGGCAGAAGGUGGAGGCCCUGGGCAACCGCACAGUCUGAAACAACACCAGGAACAAGGAUGCCUAGUGUUGGCAGGACUCUCAGGGCCACCCUGUCAAGGCUCCUUUUCCUCAAGGCUCUCUUCCUUUCUACAGCAGUAUUCUCCCUCCCUGCGUCUCACACAGUGCACACUCCUCUACGUGGGGGGACUUGACCUACAGGAGCCAGACCCAGGCCCCGUCUACCUCCUCUCCCUGGCUUGCCAGCAGUAAUGACAGUGACUAUCACAGAGACGAAGGUCACAGUCAUGGUCAUGAUGGUGGCGACGACGACAAAGACAUGAAGAAGGUUGUGACGGGGUUUAAGUGGAAAAUGAUGGUGGUGAAGUCGGUAACGGCAAAAGUGGUGGUUAUUACGACGGUGGUAGAGUUGAAAGUGCUAAUGAAGAUGAUGUUAGAAGUGAUUGUGAGGUGAUGGUGUUAGUGAAGUUAGCAGAGGUGCUGGCGAUGAAAAACGGUGACGAUGAAGGUGCUGACGGGAAUGAAGGUGAUGGUGACGGUGGUGGCGGUGAAGACAAUGGAGGUGUUGAUGGUGAUAAUGGCGGUAAGCCAAUGAUUCUUAGGGGAGUGGUGAAGAUGAAGAUAACGACGAUGAGGAUGAGGAUGAUGGGGGAACCACCUGCAACCAACUUCUUAGGCCUCCAGCAUGCAGCCGCCAGCGGCCCUUGCUGCUUGUGGAUGCCUGGGGUCCCUGGAAUGGAUUUCUCCCUUUUCUUCUUAGAGCUCUUAGCAACCGACCGAGUCACAGGAAGACGGUGAAAUGCAACCAUCCUGCGUGCUGUGUCGGGGAAUUCCCUGAGCCACUGUGCAGACAGCAGUGAAAGCCCACCUGGUGAUAAUUAAGAAUUUGUGGACAGAGGCUUCUAUGUGAUGCUGCAAUGGGAGACCUGACUGUGUGACUAUGCCUAAACCCAUAGAAUGUGCAGCUCCAAGAGUCUACUCUCAUGUGGUGACGGGAUGUCUGUUGGUAAUAGUGUCCAUACCAGCUCUGCCAGACAAGUCACCCCACUGACAGAAGUGAAGGACGGCCGGCGGGGGGAGGGGGAGCACAAAAAGCAUGUGGGAUUCUCUUCAACUAUUAGUUAACUUGCUGCAAACAAAGACAACUCCA